GAGCUCGCUGCCACGUGAGUUAUUUACGGUUUCAUUUGGGAGCUUUGAAACUGGGCUCUUGAAUGGGUGUUCUUGUGGGGGAGGGGCAGGGUGAAUUACCUUUUCUUAGCUGUGAUUUAAAAAAAACAAAACAACCCCCCCCCCAAAAAAACUCAACCCUUUGUCCCGCAAAAUGCAUUUCCUUGCUGAGCUUGAGUUGCAAUUUAUGUGUGGGAUUUAGUCGUCAAUUUAAGUGAAGAAAUGUCUGUAAAAUUUAAGUGUGUCAUUUCAGAGUUAAGAAACUUAAAAAAAAAAAGAAAAGAAAAAUCAUCCACCAAACCCCAAACACUGCCUCUGUAAAAAACCUGUGACAUACUUGGUGAAAUAUUUUGGCCCUUUCAGACUCAGGCACACCUGUUCCUGUCCCUGCUGAGUCGUUUUGAUUUCCCUGGCAUUGUUAACCUAGCUCUUGUACACAAGAUGAAACGGUAAAACUUGCUAGUGGAAUAAUUAUUAACUACUCCAUCCAUUACCCUUUCAGGGAAUAAUCAAUAACCUCACUCUUGACUUUAAAAACUCCAAAUAGAAAUUGUCCUGUUAGUCUAGAAAGUGUUGUAAAGAAAAAUUGGGUUAGAGAAACAAACAAGUAGUGACAACAAACUAUGAAAACAAGCUGUUUAGGGUGUGCUGAGAGAGCAGUCAGGUCAGAGAUAUACUGAACCAGCAGGAAAGUGAGCCUAGGAUGGCAUAUUUUGUUUGAAUUUCUUUUCCUUCCCUUCCUUCCUUCCCUUCCUUCCUUCCUUCCUUUCUUUCUUUCUUUCUUUCUUUCUUUCUUUCUUUCUUUCUUUCUUUCUUUCUUUCUUUUUUUUUUUUGUGAUCAGGUCUCUCUACAUAGCCUUGACUGUCCUGGAAGUCACCAUGCACGGUGACCCAGAACUCUCUUUGUAGACCAUGCUGGUCUAGAACUCAGAAUCCUCCAGCUUCAGCCUCCCACAUAAAGCUGUGUGCCACCACACCUGGCCUUCUUACAGAUUUAUGAAAAACGGAAAAGGUCUUUCAAAAAGGAUACCUUUUAGGGUCACCUUUCAGGGAGGGCUACUGCUGUGUUGUAGCAGGGGCAUGUCUUUUGCCAACAACACACCCUGGCAUCAAGAGUCAUAUUUGAAGGUGCAGUUAUCCCUUCUGCACUCAGGGCUCUGCUAAAUGGAAAGAAAAUGUAAAGAGUUUACAACAUUGAUGUAAUGGUGGUCUCAGUUCUCACUUUUUCCCACUGACUCUUCAAUAUAGAGGGACUCGUUAUAAUGUAUGUGAGUUCAGCUUGGGUCCCUCUGCUAAUAAACUUUCUAUCAGCAGAAAGCAGCAGGCCACACGGAAACACAAGGAUUCGCAUAGCUUGGUUGGGAAGGGACUAAUUUACCUAUUGUGCUGGGUAGGAACAACUCAGUUACUACCAUGCACAGGUAAUAACAGCACCAUUACAGAGGGUGGAACACAAUUUUGUAGUCU
rnacentral:lncRNA from 1 species